rnacentral:rRNA from 1 species
UACAGAGGUCUCAAGCGUUGUUCGGAUUCACUGGGCGUAAAGGGUGCGUAGGCGGGUCUUUAAGUCAGGGGUGAAAUCCUGGAGCUCAACUCCAGAACUGCCUUUGAUACUGAAGAUCUUGAGUCCGGGAGAGGUGAGUGGAACUGCGAGUGUAGAGGUGAAAUUCGUAGAUAUUCACAAGAACACCAGUGGCGAAGGCGGCUCACUGGCCCGGUACUGACGCUGAGGCACGAAAGCGUGGGGAGCAAACAGG